rnacentral:rRNA from 1 species
UACGGAGGGGACUAGCGUUGUUCGGAAUUACUGGGCGUAAAGCGCACGUAGGCGGAUUUGUAAGUCAGGGGUGAAAUCCCGAGGCUCAACCUCGGAACUGCCUUUGAUACUGCAAAUCUCGAGUCCGGAAGAGGUGAGUGGAAUUCCUAGUGUAGAGGUGAAAUUCGUAGAUAUUAGGAAGAACACCAGUGGCGAAGGCGGCAUCCUGGACCGGCAUUGACGCUGAGGCGCGAAAGCUAGGGUAGCAAACGGG